rnacentral:lncRNA from 1 species
UUCAUGUAUGUUUGGUCCCUCAUUUGAGUCCGCCUGUGUAGGUUCGGACCCGAGGAACCGAGGACCCCAGCAGUGAGUCUGUUGCCCCAGUGUCUGGCCAGAGCUAUCCAGAGGUGAGUGGAAUAACCUACUACGUUUUAAAGCAAAUAAUGUACUUUUAGCAUGCUUCAUGCAUCAUGAAUGCCAUGUGAUGAAUUAGGUUGCUUGCAUUAGAAUUCACGAAUAUGUUGCAUUGC